UACAGAGGGUGCAAGCGUUAAUCGGAAUUACUGGGCGUAAAGCGUGCGUAGUCGGUUAUUUAAGUCGGAUGUGAAAUCCCCGGGCUCAACCUGGGAAUUGCAUUCGAUACUGGGUAGCUAGAGUUCGGCAGAGGGAAGCGGAAUUUCGGGUGUAGCGGUGAAAUGCGUAGAUAUCCGAAGGAACAUCAGUGGCGAAAGCGGCUUCCUGGACCAGAACUGACGAUCAGGCACGAAAGCGUGGGGAGCAAACAGG
rnacentral:rRNA from 1 species